CCGAGAGAAAAAAAGAAGCAAACGUCAUGGGUUUGAGUUUUAUAUUUAAGAAGCUUGCUCUGGUUGCAGUUACGUUGACACUUACAGCAACUUCAGUGGCAGCUCAAACACAACCAGGUUGUGAAAGCCGCUGCGGGAAUAUCAGCAUUCCUUAUCCCUUCGGUACAGGCGAUGGUUGCAAAAUUAGCAGCGACUUUUUCAUUACUUGUAACACCACUUUCAAUCCUCCAAAAGCAUUCUUAGACACCAGUAAUAUUGAGAUUCUCGACAUCUCUCUGGAUGGUUAUUUGCGCAUAAGUCAAUCCAUAGGUUAUGACUGUUACAACAAAGUCGAGCCUUCAUAUUUUGCUACGUGGAUGUGGUUUUCAAAAUUCUCCUUAUCUCAUACCAGAAAUAAGUUCACAGCCAUUGGUUGUGAUACUUAUGCUUACGUAAAGGAUUAUUUGGGACAUACGUAUUCAACCGGAUGUUUAACGUUUUGUGAUAAUAUUACCAAUGUGGUGGAGGGAUCUUGCUCUGGCAUCGGCUGCUGCCAGACUGCUAUCCCUAAAGGAGUGAGGAGUUAUCAUGUAACGUUUGGUAGUUCUAACAACCAUUCCAAGGAUUGAGCAAUACAUUUUUACAAGGAUGUCCUAGUCUAGAGUGCCACACACUCAGAGGAACAGACGUUUUAGUUGUAAAAUAGUGUGCUGUGCGCAUAGGUUGAGAAUUUCUGAAAGCAUCGGUCAAAUGGAGCUUGUACAGGCCAUGGUGUACUGAUCCUCUAAGAAAUACCUCCUUGGUCCUUAAGUCACGUACCUCGCACUGUGUCGGGAGAAAUUCAAACAUCACCUGGUUGUCUCUUGUGAACUUAGACACAGAUAACAAAUUUUUAGUAAUGCCAAGAGUAUAUAAAAGUGAUUUCAUGUAAAGUGGUCGUGUCCUAGUGAGCAAAUAGGACUGACCAAAACAUAGAACAGGAGAGAGCUACAAUUUCCAACAUACACCUUACUUGGCCCAUUGCGAGAUGGAUUAUCACCAAGAGAGGUAGCAGAGUGAGUGAGAUGAUGCGUUGCCCCAGAGUCAGGAUACCAUGCAGGGCUGCCCACAAUGUCAGGUGUAGCAAUUAACACAUGUGGUGGAGAAACAGUAGUAGAGGAAGGUGAAACCUGUUGUGUGUAGUCACUCAUAUAUGGAUGGGCCCAGUUAGACGUAGGCGCUGACUGAUAGGACCAGUUGGAAGGAGGUUGAACUACCAGGUGGUAUAACUGACACAGCAGAUGGUGUUUAGGGAGAAGGACUAGGUGCAUACAUGCACAUAUUUGCUUGCGAAGAAGGCCUGUAGUUGGUACUUUUGUAAGAUGCAUCAAACUGAUGAUAGCAUCGAUCAACCAGAUGUCCAGUUUUUCCAUAUAACUGGCAUUGAAUACAGGCUCCAGACGAGCGACCACGCACGACCCCGAGAAUUUGAUGCACAAUAAGGUGGUACAAAAGUAUUAGUAACUGACUGCGCAGGUUGUUGAGAAACUAAAUUGGCAGAACUAGGAGUCUCAGCCAGUAUAACCUGUUGUCUAGCUUCAGCAUCAAUUAGCAUAGUUGUGACAUUCUGAACAGUGUAUGAAAGAUGACUAGCAAGAAUGAUUGAAACAAUGGACUCAUAUUCGAACGGUAGCCCAUUAAGGAUAGCAGUUAUAUGCUCAUGUGCACUGAUAUCCUCUCCACAGCUAGCAAGAUUAUCACAGUAGGAUUUGAUUUUCAGCAAAAACUCUUUCAUAGACAUAUCACAUUUUCGUUGAGAGUGUAACGCACGACAAUAUAACAUCAGUCGAGAAGUAGUUUUGCUACCAUACAAUGUUACAAUAGAAUUCCAAAUCUGAGCACUGGUGUCAAGCCCAAUGAGAUGAGGAAGAACAUCUUGACUUACAGAGGACAAAAGCCAGGAAGCAAGAGCGCUAUGUUGCUGUUCGAACCUAGUGAACUCAACAUUUUCUUCAAGCACCCCAUCAUCACCUGGAACCAUCGAAGGGGGUGGUACGGUAUGCAAGUCAAGAAAACUUUGCAGUUUGUAAGCUUUAACAGGUAUGCAAGUCAAGAAAACUUUGCAGUUUGUAAGCUUUAACAGCCAACAGAACCUGUUGCCACCAUAAAAGAUAGUUGGAAUCAUCGAGAAAUAUACUCACUUUCUUGGUAGAGAAGAAUCUGCUAUCAAGAACACCACUAGCAAGAUUAGACGCCAUCGUGGGUGCAGCAGACUGAAUAGCAGAAGGACUCGCUGGUGGAUCCAUGCAACAAGCAAAAAAAACCGAAACUUAAAGCAUCAAUCCCAGGAAGAGAGAGACGUCUGAUACCAUGUUGAAAUAUAACCAAAAAUAUUAUAAAACUGAAGAAGUAUAUUAAACUUUAUUAAGUCAUAUUAAUGACCUGAUACAUGCAUUUAUAGCAAUAGUUGAGAACUGUUUCUUUAACAAACUAACUGCUAUCUUAACAGUCAACUAACUAACUUCCAGAUACUCUAACAAUUUGCGCAUAAGUGAAUCCAUAGGUUAUGACUGUUACAACGAAGUCGAGCGUACUUCAUAUUUUGAUAUGUGGAUGGAGCUUUCAAAAUUCCCCAUAUCUCAUACCAGAAAUAAGUUCACAGCCAUUGGUUGUGAUACUUAUGCUCACGUAAAGGAUUAUUUGAGAGAUACGUAUUCAACAAGAUGUUUAACGUUUUGUGAUAAUAUUACCAAUAUGGUGAAGGGAUCUUGCUCUGGCAUCGGCUGCUGCAAGACGGCUAUCCCUAAAGGAGUGAGGAGUUAUCAUGUAACGUUUGAUAGUUCUAACAACCAUUCCAAUAUGUUGAGCUUCAAUCCUUG
rnacentral:lncRNA from 1 species